GCCGAAGCUCAAGGCUAAUUGCAGUGGAUGUUUUACGCAUUGUCAGCAAGAUGAUGGACUGAUAGAAACUUGAGGGGAAAGGACAGCGCCUCUGCAAGACAAGUAUGAACAGAUUUUCCAGUUUUUCAAGAGAGCUGGGAAUUCAGAUUUUUAUGUAAAAUAUUCUUAUUUUUAAAGGUUGUCAGGUCAUUCCAAAAUUUUUACAUACUGCAAUCCAAACAAAAAAGAAUAACCAAAGAAGCUCUAGGACUCACCCAGCAUUUCAUCCAGGGGAAGGGAGAGAACCAACCUAUUAAAUGGAGGGAUGAAGUUAAGAAUGCACAGAUGAUGGCACCUGACCAUAGUUUGCCUGCUUGAGGCCAGUCUCUUGGUUGUGUAACCAAAGAAUGGAAAAGAAUGAUGACUUCAAUGAAAAUACAUUUUGGAAAAUAUCCUUUGGAGAAAAAGGAACUUCAUCCAGAACACCCAGGAGAACAUUCUGAAAAUUAGAAAAAAGCAGAAGAAAAGAGUGCCGAGUAAAGGACAACUAAGAGGACAGAAUUCCAACAUUCGACUUAUAGGUGCUUCCUUCAUCAGGGUUGAUAGCAAGAAUAAUUGGAGCAGAUGAAAAUAUUGAUUAAUGAUGAUGGACUAAGAAGUAAAACUUGAAUUUGGAGAUUAGAGUGCAAACCAUAGUCCAGAUAAAAUUAAAGAAGGGAGGAAGUACCAGCAACUUAUGAAUUAUAGCACAUUAGAUGUUUUUAAACAAAGUUUGGCAAAAGUAGAAGAGGGGAAAUAAUGGAGAAAAAUGAUGCUAAAAUGUCUUUGGAUAUGAAAGGCAAAAGUCGGCAUUUCAGAUGUUGUUCAUCAAAGAAAUAUAACAGUGGGGCUCCUCAAAACUCAGUCGUCUGCAGUAUUGUCUUUGCAAUGCAGGUUUACUUCUUAAAUGAUCUCUUCCAUUAUCCAUGACUUUAAAUGUAUGGCAUGAUAACAUGUCAUCAGCCUCAGGCUUGCACCCAAGCACCACACAUCUCUUAUUCCUCUUGGCUGCAUAAAGAGCACAAACUUAGCAUGACCAAGCAGCCCUUUGAGUCCAAGACACCUCCAAAACCUGCUUCUCCCCAGAGUUCUCAUCACUGUCACUGGCACUAGUAUCCACCCAGUUGUUCAAGACCUUAAUCCAGGUGUCAUCUUUAGUUCUUCAGUUUGCACUUUCAUCCCCACGUCCAGUUGAAGUCCUUUCUGUUCAAAAACAAUUUGCAAAUUUUUCAAGAUAAUUGGCUGUGUAGGCAAGAGUAAUGAAUUGGGAGCUGGAAGGUGACCUGGCAUCCAAGGAGGGAUUUCUGCUUGCCUUGUUUUUUAAGAGAAAAGAGGUUUGAUUUUAUCUUGAAGGAGAAGGUCAAGAGGGAAAACCACAAGGUUCAGGAGAAAGUGGAGAUAUUAACUGAACACAGAACAGCAGAAGGCAAGAAAGAGGGAAUGAAAUCCAGCAAGCAGAGGUCAGAGUCAGUUUUACAAGUAAACAGGAGCUAGUGCGUGGAGGAAUUUAUUCUGUUUGUAGGUGAUGAGGCAAUAGUUAGGUGUGGAACCCUCUAUCUAUAGUUCUGGUGGCAGGAAGUUGAAGGCUUCCACAUCUGACUGCCUCUCUUUCCCUUCUGAAGUUUAUGGGAAGACCUUCUGCUUCAAGCAUUUGAAGGGAUGGAUCAUGGAAUCUCAACCAGUUAGGGACAGAAGUGAAAACAGGAGUGAACGGAUAAAUUGGCAGAAAACAGUGUCCACAAGAUAUCAGUGGCCAUCCCCUUUCUUAGUAAAUGGCAACUACACUGAAAAAUCUGGACAUAAUCCUUGAUUAUUGCUUCUCUUCCACUACCCAGAUCUAAUACUCACCAAACCCUAGUCAUUCCAUGUUCUAAAGGAUUUGUAUGGAGUCCAUUCAACAUCUCUAUACUCACCACACCCAUCCUGGUGCAGUACGGCCUCCCGUUUCACUUGGACUACUUGCCUUGGACAUUAUCCACAACAAUUGCUCCAUAUUUUGACUAGUACCAUCCUUGAAAUGUCAAUUUAUGGAUACCCAGCCAAUACCGCUCAAUGGUUUUGCACUGUUCUAAGGAUAAAGUCCAGAAAACUUCACAGGCUUUUCAAGGUCAUCCAUAAUCUGGCUUCUAUCGGCUCAUGUUUCAAACAUCUCUCUCCCUCCCUCUCUCUCUCUCUCCCUCUCUCCCCUCUUCCCCCAGCCCCUCUCUCUCAAGUAAACCUGCAGCCAUGCUUAAGCACUUUGACCAUCUCAGGCUUUCUUUAGCCUUUGGUGGCUUCCCAUAGGCUGUCCCCUCUUCAUGUAACACCUGUGUUUCUGCCUCAAUCUUGGCCUUCAUUCAGAUUUCAGAUUAAACAUUUCUUCUUAUUUGUCUUGCUCAGCCCCCAUCCCUUUUUUCUACCACCAGUACCAACAACAACUGGACUAAUUUCAUUUCUUACUUGGCUCCUAUAAUACCCUGGGCUUAUGGCUAUUGAAUUUCUCCAUGUGGCUAUUCUAUUAUAAUUGCUUGUUUAUUAUCUGGGUUUCCCCGAAUAAAAUGUAAAGGGCUGGAACUAGGUUUAUCUCAUUGGUAUCUGACUUGACAGUACUUGGCCCAGGGAUUUAGCACAUCACUAGACCCCAAUUAAUAUUUGUGCCAGUUUGAGUGUAUUGUGUCCCCCAAAUGCCAUUAUCUUUGUGGUCUUGUGUGGGGCAGAAGUUUUGGUGCUGGUUAGAUUUGCUUGGAGUGUGCCCCACCCAGCU